AAAUGUAAGGAAGUAAGGGCGUAUGGGGAAUGCCUUGGCACUAUUAGACGAUGAAGGACGUGACUACCUGCGAUAAGCUACGUGGAGUUGGAAGUGAACUGUGAAGCGUAGAUCUCCGAAUGGGGAAACCCACUGCAAAGACAUUGCAGUAUCCGUAACCGAAUCCAUAAGUUACGAGAAGACAACCCUGGGAACUGAAACAUCUAAGUACCAGGAGGAAAAGAAAGAGAAUUCGAUUCCCUUAGUAGCGGCGAGCGAAAAGGGAGUAGCCCAAACCAGUCUAAGGACUGGGGUUGUAGGACCACAACAUACAAAAUGUUGGCGAUAGUAGAAUUAGUUGGGAAACUAGACCAUAGAAGGUGAAAGUCCUGUAUACGAAAUCAAAAACUGAGUUAGUGGUAUCCUGAGUACGGCGAGGCACGUGUAACCUUGUCGGAAUCCACGCAGACCACUGCGUAAGGCUAAAUAUUAAAUAGUGACCGAUAGUGAACCAGUACCGUGAGGGAAAGGUGAAAAGAACCCCGGGAGGGGAGUGAAAUAGAACCUGAAACCAUAUGCCUACAAGAAGUCAGAGGACGUUAAAGUCUGAUGGCGUGCCUAUUGAAGAAUGAACCGGAGAGUUAUUCUAGCGUGCAAGGUUAAGUUGAAAAGACGGAGCCGUAGCGAAAGCGAGUCUGAACAGGGCGCAAGUACGUUGGAAUAGACCCGAAACGGGAUGAUCUAGCCAUGGCCAAGUUGAAGUGUGGGUAAGACCACAUGGAGGACUGAACCGACGCUCGUCGAAAUGAUCGCGGAUGAGCUGUGGCUAGUGGUGAAAUUCCAAUCGAAUUCCGUUAUAGCUGGUUCUCCCCGAAAUAGCUUUAGGGCUAGCGUUGAAAUUAGAUCUAUGGAGGUAGAGCACUGAAUAUGGGAUGGCUUUGAUAAGAGGUACUGACUAUAAUCAAACUCCGAAUGCCAUAGAGUAUUGUUCAGCAGUCAGACUGUGGGGGAUAAGCUCCAUGGUCAAAAGGGAAACAGCCCAGACCGUCAAAUAAGGUCCCAAAAUCUAUGCUAAGUGUUAAAGGAUGUGGAGACGCACAAACAACUAGGAUGUUGGCUUAGAAGCAGCCACCAUUUAAAGAUCGCGUAACAGCCCACUAGUCGAGUGGCUCUGCGCCGACAAUGUACCGGGGCUAAGCAUAGUACCGAAUUUACGGAUUUAGUUUUACUAAGUGGUAGGGGAGCGUUCCAAGGGCGAUGAAGUCAGAUCGUAAGGACUGGUGGAGCGCUUGGAAGUGAGAAUUCCGGUGUGAGUAAACGAAUGAAGGUGAGAAUCCUUCACACCGAUUGACUAAGGUUUUCUGGGGCAGGGUCGUCCGCCCAGAGUAAGUCGGGACCUAAGGCGAGGCCGAAUGGCGUAGUCGAUGGACAACAGGUUGAUAUUCCUGUACCCGCGUAUAGGUGAUGGAAUGACAGAGGUGGUUAAGCUGAGCCGGCGAAUGGUAGUGCCGGUCUAAGCGAGGUAGCUUGAGCAUAGGCAAAUCCGUGCUCUAUAAGGCAAAGGCGUUAUGGGGACCGAACAAGCGAUUAAGUAGGGAAGCAGCUGAUACCAACUUUCAAGAAAAGUUUCUAACUUAACUAUACGUGGCCCGUACCGAGAACGAACACACGUGGUCAAGGAGAGUAUCCUAAGGUGAGCGAGAUAAUUGUUGUUAAGGAACUCUGCAAAAUUACCCCGUAACUUCGGAAGAAGGGGAGCUCUAGAAAUAGAGCCGCAGUGAAAAGGCCCAAGUAACUGUUUAUCAAAAACAUAGCUUUAUGCUAAGUCGCAAGACGAUGUAUAUGAGGUGAUGCCUGCCCAGUGCUGGAAGGUUAAGAGGAGCUGUUAGUCGCAAGGCGAAGCAGUGAAUUUAAGCCCCAGUGAACGGCGGCCGUAACUAUAACGGUCCUAAGGUAGCGAAAUUCCUUGUCGGGUAAGUUCCGACGCGCACGAAUGGUAUAAUAAUUUGGGCACUGUCUCAACAGCAAGCUCGGUGAAAUCUUAGUGCCUGUGAAGAUGCAGGCUACUCGCGACUAGACGGAAAGACCCCAUGGAGCUUUACUAUAACUUGAUAUUGAGUAAUGGUUAAUCAUGUACAGGAUAGGUGGGAGACUUUGAAGCCGGGGCGUCAGCUUCGGUGGAGUCAACCUUGGGAUACCACUCUUGGUUAAUUGUUAUUCUAACCCGCAACCAUUAUCUGGUUGGGGAACAGUGUCUGGUGGGUAGUUUGACUGGGGCGGUCGCCUCCCAAAAGGUAACGGAGGCGCCCAAAGGUACUCUCAGCAUGGAUGGAAAUCAUGCAUCGAGCGUAAAGGUAUAAGAGUGCUUGACUGCGACACUUACACGUGGAGCAGGGACGAAAGUCGGGUUUAGUGAUCAGGCGGUCCCGUGUGGAAGGGCCGUCGCUCAACGGAUAAAAGCUACCCUGGGGAUAACAGGCUGAUUUUUCCCAAGAGUUCACAUCGACGGGAAAGUUUGGCACCUCGAUGUCGGCUCAUCGCAUCCUGGAGGUGGAGUCGCUUCCAAGGGUUGGGCUGUUCGCCCAUUAAAGCGGUACGCGAGCUGGGUUCAAAACGUCGUGAGACAGUUUGGUCCCUAUCUGUCGCGAGCGUUGGAGAUUUGAGAGAAUCUGUCCUUAGUACGAGAGGACCGGGAUGGACAAACCUAUAGUGCACCAGUUGUCACGCCAGUGGCACAGCUGGGUAGCCACGUUUGGAAUAGAUAAACGCUGAAAGCAUCUAAGCGUGAAACUAAUCUCAAGAUGAGAUCUCCCAUUUUUAUAAGUAAGAGCCCUUCUAAGUCAGGAGGUUGAUAGGCUACAUGUGUAAGCGUAGUGAUACGUUCAGCUGAGUAGUACUAAUAGCUCGAGGACUUACUUUA
rnacentral:rRNA from 1 species